UACGGGGGGGGGCAAGCGUUGUUCGGAAUUACUGGGCGUAAAGGGCUCGUAGGCGGCCAACUAAGUCAGACGUGAAAUCCCUCGGCUUAACCGGGGGAACUGCGUCUGAUACUGGAUGGCUUGAGAUUGGGAGAGGGAUGCAGAAUUCCAGGUGUAGCAGGUGAAAUGCGUAGAUAUCUGGAGGAAUACCGGUGGCGAAGGCGGCUCUCUGGGACCGAUACUGGACGCUGAGGCGCGAAA
rnacentral:rRNA from 1 species